rnacentral:rRNA from 2 species
GUCACGCUGUAAACGAUGUCGAUUUGGAGGUUGUUCCCUUGAGGAGUGGCUUCCGGAGCUAACGCGUUAAAUCGACCGCUGGGGAGUACGGCCGCAAGGUUAAAACUCAAAUGAAUUGACGGGGGCCCGCACAAGCGGUGGAGCAUGUGGUUUAAUUCGAUGCAACGCGAAGAACCUUACCUACUCUUGACAUCCAGAGAAUUUAGCAGAGAUGCUUUAGUGCCUUCGGGAACUCUGAGACAGGUGCUGCAUGGCUGUCGUCAGCUCGUGUUGUGAAAUGUUGGGUUAAGUCCCGCAACGAGCGCAACCCUUAUCCUUUGUUGCCAGCACAUUAUGGUGGGAACUCAAAGGAGACUGCCGGUGAUAAACCGGAGGAAGGUGGGGAUGACGUCAAGUCAUCAUGGCCCUUACGAGUAGGGCUACACACGUGCUACAAUGGCGUAUACAAAGAGAAGCGACCUCGCGAGAGCAAGCGGAACUCAUAAAGUACGUCGUAGUCCGGAUUGGAGUCUGCAACUCGACUCCAUGAAGUCGGAAUCGCUAGUAAUCGUAGAUCAGAAUGCUACGGUGAAUACGUUCCCGGGCCUUGUACACACCGCCCGUCACACCAUGGGAGUGGGUUGCAAAAGAAGUAGGUAGCUUAACCUUCGGGAGGGCGCUUACCACUUUGUGAUUCAUGACUGGGGUGAAGUCGUAACAAGGUAACCA